UACGUAGGGGGCAAGCGUUGUCCGGAUUUAUUGGGCGUAAAGAGCGUGUAGGCGGCCAGACAGGUCCGUUGUGAAAACUCGAGGCUCAACCUCGAGACGCCGAUGGAAACCGUCUGGCUAGAGUCCGGAAGAGGAGAGUGGAAUUCCCGGUGUAGCGGUGAAAUGCGCAGAUAUCGGGAAGAACACCCGUGGCUAAGGCGGCUCUCUAGUACGGUACUGACGCUGAGACGCGAAAGCGUGGGGAGCGAACGAGG
rnacentral:rRNA from 1 species